UGAUGAAUUCUUCUCAUCCUUCAAGAUUCAACUCCAAGGCCAUUUCCUCCUUGAGACCUCUUGUGAUUGCCCUGUCUAAAAGGAUUUUAUUCCUCUUCAAAUUUUCUGAGAGCUCUUUGGAUUUCUCCCUUGUCAUCAUCAACCAAACUUGUGUUCCAAAUGUGGAAUAUGAACUUAAAUAG
rnacentral:lncRNA from 1 species